CAAGAAGAUGAUCACAAUUAUCACUUGAGUAACCCGUUGGGAUUCGUCGCAAUCCAAUACGAUUAGGCCUUCUACAAUUUCCUCCGGGCUCCAUAAUCAAUGACUGACCCACUUCACAUGCCCACUUUCCUCAUUUUAGCAUUUGGUGAUUAGAGCUUUGGAAACAAGUGAGAGAUUUUAAACCACGUGGCGUCCAGGGAAAACAAGAAAGAAGAUUGUAUAAAAAACUCCAACUUGAGGCAGCGCGUGUAUAAAUUUCAACGAGUGGCUGCUAAGCCUCCAUGAGCUCUCUUCAGCAGCAGCGCACGCAAAAACUCACUCACCCAACGCUACUCAAGUAGCAAGAGGAGGAAGAAGGGGAGGUAGAAGAUGGAUGCUCAACCGCCAGCGCCGAGGCCCCAUCCAGCCCCUGCCUUCGGCAACCAACCACCUCCAAGAGGCAGCGUCAUCAAGAAAAUCAUCUCCGGCCAGAAAUGAAACUGCUAUGAUCUUUAAGCUUCUUUAUCCUUGGGGGAGGUGUAAUUAGGUUUUCGAUCAUGUGAAAUACACGACUUCUAUCCUGUCUUGUCAGGAAUGUGUAGUUAGUAUAAUGAGGUUGCUGUACAUAUUAUAAAGGGAAUGCUGGAAUGGCCUAGAUCUGAGAUCUAGUACAUACAUGGUGUUUCCCUGAUGUCAAAUGUAAUCAAGAUCCUCCCCCAAAUUAAGCUUGUGAUGUUUUUACAGGGUAGGCAUAUUUCCAGGUAAUUCUCAUACCCGCUUGCGCUAGCAAAUAGAUCUCGGGUUCCUCUUGUGCUUUCGUACCGUUUAUGUCGUGCAUGUGCAGCACGCAUGUUCGUAUGUAUUUGCUUGUGCGCAGGGCAGGCAAGCGUGCUGAACGGGUAGAAUAAUCGGGUUGAAUUUCGAAGCAGGACUUCUAACCAGAAACCUCGUAUCAGCGGACUAUGAGUAUCAGCUUGAAUGUGUAUACUGACACGUCAAACCUCGUCGGAGGCUAAUGCCGAGAAGGAUCCUGAAUAAGCAACUCUUUGCUUGCAUAACUCAUCUCUGUUACUGUUGAUUAUUCAGGAUUUUUAACCAGAAACCUUGCAUAAGUGAACGACAAAUAUCAGCUCGAAUGUCUCUAUCAACGCAUCUAACAUCGCCGGAGGCUAAUGCCAAUAAGGGACUCCGGAUAAGCAACUCCUUUUCUGCAUAAUUUUUCUAUAUUAUUGUCAGUAUUGAUUAUUCUUUUUUUUUUCUUUUCUUGAGAAUUGUUAUGGAAAGAAAAUCUGACUUAGCUCUGAAAUUGGAGAUGAAGAUUUGAGCAUUAUUCAAUGCACCAGAUCAUGCAUGACCCACCAUGACAUGAGCGAUGAAGAUUUAUUUUUUUAUUUUUUUUAUCAGAGAGAGAUGAAGAAUGAGAUGAAGAUUGAGAUGAUAGUUUUUGGCAGAUAUUGACUGUCGCCAGUUGGAAAUUACUGCUUAAAUAAAAAAAAGUUAUCAGUCUAUGUCAAAGGAGUGUGAAUCCAACUAGUCUUUUUCUUAGAUUCGAUGGAUUAUGUGGUUAGUGCAGUGUUCUUUCAAGAGCUGUGUUCCGGAUCAUAAAAGCCGAUGCAGCAUCAUCAUUUGUCACUUCUAAUAUCCUGAAUACAUGAUUAUUAGAAACGAUAUUCGGAUAAUUUUUUUAGACGACAAGCGAAAUCCACUCGAUUGCCACGGUGUCUUUGUCACCGUGCGUUUUAAAGCAAAGAAGCUGCGUAUGACGGAGCGUCCGUGGGUUAACAGGCGAGACAAAAAGCAAUGCGAUGGGGGAUAUUGACGGAUGUCAUAAGCCGACCAAUUUAUACAUUAAACGACCGCCGUCGCUAGACAAACAUCGGGACGGUCACGCCUGCCUUUUCCAUAGAACUUAGCAUAAUUACCGCGUGAGCCUCCGGAGUCGAAGAAUUCCAGAUAUGUUGGACGAUAAUGAAAUGGGAGUUCAUCGACCAACUCCACGUGCCUAGCCAAGUAGAAAGAGGACAGGGGAAACAACCACCAAACAAAUUUGAAUCACAUGCACCAGAUGUACUUUUCCCACCGACAGCUCUUUAAAUUCACCAAGCGUGAUUGAUCGCCUUGGGAUUGUUGGAAUCUAUUGGGAUUCGAAUUGAUUUAGACAAGCAUGAGGGUCCAUCUAUAAGUGAGAAAACAACAUAUAUCAAAUCAAUAAAUCAAGAAUAUAAUCAAUUACAGCAUCCGAAUUCCAUAGGAUCUCAUCUGUUUUUUAGGGUUUUGUGUAGAUUUCUUUGAGAUGUGAUGGAUCGCUGCCCACUGUUCACAUUUUAGGGUUCGGUUUCAUUGAAUCUUGGCAUGGGAGUAGUUUAGCCUAGUAGAUUAGUGCCUGUGUUUUUGUCCUCCUUCUGUCUGCUUAAUUGUAAUUUGACAAGUUCCAUAUCUCGGAUCGAGUGUUGAUAUAAAAAUACACUUUUCAUAAUUAGGUGCUAACAGUUAUAUACUUCAUUUUCAUCCCAUCCUUUAUCUAGGGUUUCCAUGCAAUAAUAGAUUGGAGGAAUAUAUAAUACAUAUACAAGAUAUCAAAUUACUUUAUACGUAUUUUUCUUUCACUCAAGGGGCCACGUAUAGAUUAUCAGCUUUGCCAUUGUAUAGCUAAUCUAAAAUUAAGCAAAAGGACACAUCACGUACACAUAACAAGACUUGUGUAAUAUGAACUCUACACGAUAAGAUAUUUGCGUGUUACAUAAUUUUCAGAAGGUGUUGAAAAAUAUGAUUAUACGUUUGCAGAUUUGGACAGGUUUUAGACAUUCGUGCUGAAUGAAAACUAAAUAAAUUGAAGGGUCAUAUGCUUUAUAGAAGGUUAAAUAUUUGAAAUAGAGGACAGCACUAAAUGGAUGACACUAGAACAAUUAUUGUGAUAGCAAGUCUUUUGACCUAUUGAACCGUGGACCAUUCAGCGGUAUCGUCUUAUGGAUGGAUGAGGAAUUCAUUAUCCCAGCAAAAUCACAUUGGCGAAUUACUAUUUGGGAAUCACAUUGACUUUAAGCAAAGCCCACAAUUUUUUAUUAUUUAUUUAUUUGUUUUCUUUUUUAUUUUUGUAUGUCCGAACCACUAAUUUUGAGGUGAGACGACACUGAUUGGCUUCUUUUGAGUGGCUUUUGGCCAGCAAGUUGUGCUGUCUUCCCCUCCGAGGAAGAAAACUUCGGAAGCCAUCCUUCAACAAAGUCAAACGCCAUGAAAGGCACGUUUUUUGACAAGGUACUACAUUUCGUAUAUCAAAGGUCGGCCAAGACAUUAUUAGAGAGUAGUUAAUUUAGAUUUAGACGAUACGAGAUUUGUUUUGAUGGCAUCAUGGACUUUGAAGAUGGAUCGUGAUUAUCACUAGCCCUAAUUUAGAGGAAAAUAAAUAGUUCUAUUGUAUAAUGUUCGUACCUCUAGUGCAAAUAAUAUAAGCUCCCCAACCGGAAAAUGAAAAUAUAGAGUAAAAAUGAACUCGCUCGAUACCGUUUGUUUGGUGGAAAAUCGAUUAUUUUGAGAAAUUUUUUCUAAAUAGUUGUUUUUAAGGUUCAAAAAAAUGAACAGACAAAAAAACUUUUCACUAUGACAAAAAGUAUUAGCCAUAGAUUGUGAUUUAAAAUGACUAUUUCUUUUUUCUUUUUUUCUUUUUUUUUUUGUAAAUGAUGUGAAUGGUCAUGUUUAGAAAAGUAUUUUUUUUAGUCAUUUAUUUUUCACGAAAUGAAUUUGAAUAGAUUAGUUGAGAUCGUAAGGUGUGAUUUAUGUAUAGCCAACUCGUCAAAAAUUAAUGACGUUGGAAAAAACUGAGGACAUGACCUUGUAGAGGCCUAUCGUUAGCUGCCCAUUGACAAAAUAUAGAAGUGGAGAAGACACAAUGUUUUCAUAAAGGUCGACAGAAAUACAUAAUAUUUUGACAAUAAUUUGAAAAAGUCAACCAACAUGUCGAUGAAUUGACUUAAUCAAUAACAUUGAUUUCUAGGAUUCAAUUAUCACGUGUCAUCACAAAUAUAUAUAGUUCCGCGCAUGUUUGGUUGUGCAAAACCCCUAAAAAGAACACAAAGACAUGGUAAUUGAAUUUCAUGUUUGAUUCUAUUUGUAUGCUAGUGUUACUUCAAAAGAAGUACUCAUCCAAUGUGAUCGUGGCCCCAAAGACCUACCAUCCUAAGUGGAGUUGGACUGAUAUGGAUCCUUUUAAUAUAACAAAAUAAGGGCAUUUAUACCUUUUGAUACGAAUAAUUUACUUAGAUUCGAGUAAAUCUUAUUGUGAUAUGCAUAAUUUUAUAUUUAUAAAAUCAUUUUUACGGAGGAUGAGCAUGUAAAGAAUAUAUUGUUUUGGUGCAAAUUGAAGGGUUUGAAAGCUCAAAGGGUAGAAAAUGAAGGACUUCAAAAAUUAGGAGAUCACAAGUGUAAUUUUAGGGCAAAGCUCUGGUUAAAUUUUUGUAGUCAUCCACAAAGGAAUCUUCAUACUGUAGAACCAAAUAUUUUUUAUAUUCAUGUUGGGUCCUUUUCAACUUGGAUUUUUCAGGCUGGUAUGAUUUGAUAGAAUCAAAUCAAUCGACAAAAUGUGUAGCCUAGGGUAGCUACAAAAAAUAGGUCAGUCGCAUCUGGGACACUCGCUAUUCAGAAAGCACCCAAGUUUUCCCCCAAAGUAUACAUAAAUAAUUCACAAAAUUGAAUAUGUUGCUUUCUGACGUCAUAUGACUUGUAAAUGCCAUCAACAAAGGUAAUUUGGAUUUUUUUUUCCAAUUAUUCUACAUCUUUUAAAUCCAUUUUACUUAGAAAAAAGCAGAUUUUAUUCCUAAGAAAGAGAUAAAAAUCCUCAUCCAUGUCCACAUAUUUUACACUAAUUAAAAAAGUGAUACCCCAUCCACCGCGCAAUUCACUUAGACAAAGAGAUUUGGUCUCCGCAUACUAGGACAAAUGGAUCAUUAGGGUUCUUCUAAGUUUAAAAUAAAUAAAAACGUAAGAAACUGGAUAAGGAUGUUCAUUUGCCUCAGAUGCAACAACCUUAAUGCCACCAGCUGUUAUUCAAGUUUCAAUUAAAAAUCUAAUGAAAAAUUUAAAUAAUUAAUCGUGAUAAAUAUUUGUUUACUAAGAAAAUUGCAAAAUAAGUCUUUAAACCUAUAAUGAGGAUGCAAAUUUAGUCAUUUUUUAAUAAGUCUUGAACUCUUAUGUGAAAUUUUAAUAUAACCAUUUCAGUUAAUAUUCGUCAAAAUUGCUAACAUGGCUUACUAGUCAUCACUUGACGUCCCAACGUGACACAUCAUUAUAUUAACAAUUUUUAAAAAAUUAUUGAAAGGACUAUAUUGGAUCUUCACUCAAAGACUUAGAACAAUAAUUAACAAAAUUGAAAAUUUUAAAAUUGAAUCUACAAUCGUAAUACAAUAUAUAUAUAUAUAUGUGUGUGUGUGUGUGUGUGUGUGUGUGUGAGAGAGAGAGAGAGAGAGACUAAUGAGAUAACAUCAUCUUUAUUCAUCGCCACUCAAAUUGAGACUCCCUGCCUUUGAAAAAAAAUAUAUUAUUGCACAAAUCCACGAACGAAUCAACCUUAAAUCAUAUCCAUAUUGAUUCUUGAGUGUGAAAAAUGUCAUUAGCACCACUAUUCCACACCCACGUGCUUAUCUUAACUUCUGUGGAUAGCCCACCUUUCCCCAAAAGAAAUGCAAAAUUUGCGUCUCCAUUUGCGGCGGUUGACAAAAGAAAAAUGUGGAAACACACGAGGAGAUUAACCAAAGGGUUUGAUCCCUCUUUUUCUUAUUUAGUUAAUAAUUGGGAGGACUUCCAUGUGAACCCAGAUUAAUUCUUAAUUCUAGAAGUUUGAGAAGAGUGGCAAGUUGUAAUUGAUGAAAUAAUUGAAGACGUGGGUCGGACGCAGGUGCCCAAUAAAAUUCUUUUUUAUCACAUUUUUUUGAGAAAUUAAUUUUUUAAGUACAUCUUCAUUUGUCAUUUUAAAAAUGAAACGUGUCGAAUUUGCUGGCUUAAUUUAGAAAUUAAAAAGAUUUUUUUUUUUUUUGUAUAGUUAGAUCAUCCUUCCUCUAACCAAGAAGCGAUAACCAACAUGCCAUUGUCUUUAUCUAAGCUUAACCAAGUGGUUCCAAUUGACCUAUUUUUUCAUGUGCUUUUCUGGAGAUGAUACCGCAUUCCCUCCUCAAAACGUUUGGAUUUGAAAAGUCCAACCACCAAUCUAUUCCUAGAGAUGUAUUUUUCAAUUUUAUCUUAUUUAGUAUGUCGCUCUCAAAAUAAUGUCUAUGCAAACUCAACCGAAAGUGGUCCCAGAGGGAGAAAGAGAGUUACAAUAACUAAUUCAUCCCAUAGAUAGUCGAACGUAGAAGAAAUGGUGAUGACAAGUGAGAAAAGUGCACUAAAGAAAAUUGAAUUUUUCGCCAGAGUACUCAAAAAAAAAAUAUGGAAUUAACAAAAAAGAGAAGAAGACAAAGUGAACAAGGCGAGUCACGUGGUACGAUGUUGUCCCACAUGCUACUGUUUCUUUGCACGCUGGGAUAGCAUCACAUUUCAUCUAAGAUUAGUUAAUCUAUAUAAAUAGGCAAACCAAUGUGCUGUUUUCUUAAAAGGAGGCCAUUUUAGUAAACCCAUAAAAUCAUUGGUAAUUAUUGAGUGGAAUGGAGAGCUUUAAUGUUGCUAUGUCGUACAUGAUUUUCUCGUCAAAUGAGUAAAUGGUUUUCUUUUUCGAGCUCGUCAGCUGUUUAGUUGAAGUUGUUAGAUUUGGUGAUUUGGUAGGUGAAGUGAGUCCUUAAGAUCGUAGAAGGAUAGAAAUUUCUACAGUAUUUGGGUAUAGUGAGGCUCUAGCGAACAAGUUCUGCAAUAUCAACCGAUCAUUGAUCCUUAGGCCCAAGUAGAUAGGGCAAAUUUCAUCAACAUAGAUUUGCACACAAUCCCAACAGUAAGAAGCGAGGAAGGUCGGCAAUCUUGAAUUGGCAAUGCAUAAAUUACUCGGUGCCAUUCUUCCACCGCAUACAUGUACGACGCAUUCAUCGACUCGUCUUAAAUAUCCGUGGCUUCUCCCGAGCCGAGACACUAUAAAGGCAUUGAGCUGCUCAAAGUUCUGCACAAGUUUCUCGAAGAGCGAACAGGAAGGGAAUUCAAAACUUGAUCUGCAUUUAACUUUCUCAGUCCAAUUUACAUGUUCAGUGAGCAUGGGUUAGCACACAGAUCAACCGGAACAAAAACCUAAAAACUCAGCUUUUGCCCAAUUCUACUUUGGCACUCGCAGCAAAAAGCUGCGGAAGGAAUUAAAAGAAUCUGUACACUCUAUAAACGAAACUAAAGGAAAUGUGUGGAUGUCCCCGUUCAAGAGAAGAAACUAUCUUCGAUGCUUCAAUCUCUGCCAGCUAAGAUUCGUCUCCGCUUAUAGACUAAUUGGUACCGAUGCAACACUCCUUUGCAAGAUCCCAUUCUGUUUUCUCUUCCGAAACCCGUCUCUAAGCUUGCGCUUGUAACUUAAUCCGUAAAAUCUGCUCUGGUCCACGGAUCCAGCUACCUGCAACACGUAGCACGACGACCAAAAGUUUAACUUGAUGACUAGCCAUGAAGCUUUAAUCAGGUUAAAGGAGAUACAUAAGCCAGCAUCAAGGAGCAAUCAGGACCAACAUGCAUUUCACACCAUAGAACAUAGUCAAAACUUGAACAGUUCAGUCAAAGAUGAUGAAUGCAAAAACAUACCAGAGAUAAAAGGGCCGUACUCCCAGUGUCAUGGGAUGCUACAGAAGCCAAAACAAGAUUAGUAAGUAGAAGCAUAAGGUACAUGAAGUAAAGAAAUUAACUAGACGAAACUAGUUAGGGGAAGGCAUAAAUAAAAUUCUCAAAUAUAUACCCCUUGUCGCUUUGCAUAUAGAACGGUGAAGAUAUUUUUGUAUCAUUGUUGUCCCUGAAAGCCCAAGAGGGGAUAACCCAGUAGCUCUUGCAUAUCGGAAACAGGCAUCUCUGAAAAUCCAAAGGAUGCUUCCCAUGUUGUCCGCACUUUUUUUUUUUUUGGGUCAAUAAUAGUGUUUCAUUCAUUCCUUAAAAACGACGAGCUUUACAUGGAAGGGAUAAGUUGGAAUCAUAACACAAGAUAGUCCAAAGGGGAGUGGGUGGUUCUCGCUGCCAAUUUGAAGGAAGAAGUUUAAGGUGUUGUGCCUUUGCAACCCAAUCUACAGCAUGAUUGGCUUCUCUCGGGCAAAAGGUGACUCUUGCGUUGGUUAGUUGCGCCAAAAGUUCUUUGCAUUCCUGUACUUGGUCCUGCACAGCCCAUGGCGCUACUUCCCGGCCCAGAACGGAUUCGACAAGCGUGCGGCUAUCACUUUCACAAAGCCAACUCCUUCUCAAUUCAAGUACUUCCCCCACGUGACAAGCUUCCCUCUGUUUCAACAUGAUGGUUUUAUUAGUGAUGGGCUUAAGGCCCGUCCGCCCAAGUUGGGCCCAAAAAGCCCGGCCCACGGGAAUACGGCCCGUGGAUGGAGGGACAUAUAAAAGGAGGAGAGAGAGAGAGAACGUACCGGUUGAAGAAAACAGAAAGCAAACGUACGUCUUUUUCUUCUCACGCUCUCUCUCUCUCUCUCGCUUUUCUCUCUCAAAAGGAAAACAGUGAAGCACGAAGGCAAAUUUCCUUCACCGGAUCGAACAGGACCAAGUUUCUCUUCCUCUAUCAGCGUCGGUGUUUAAUCUGUGGCUUAAAAGGUACGCUCGAAUCCGUGGUGUACUUUAAGAUUGGUGAUACGUGUUGUUUUCCCGGACUCGUCUUCCGCAUUGAUUUAGGGGUUUGAUUUAGUGUCGAAUCCGCUUUUCGGGGAUCUGUUAUUCCCAAUAAUGGUAUCAGAGCCCUAGUUCACGUUUUCCCCACCUGUUUGAUUUUUUUUUUUAUUGAUUUUUCACGAAAGUAAUUCGGCCGUACGGAUCGGGGCGAGAAAUCCCGACACCCGAGCGUUGUUCGCCCAUUUUUCCGAGUUUUCGUAAGUCAAAAUCAAAUUCUGAUGGCAUAAGGUGGAAAGGGGUCGUCGAGACGAGUCUGGCGAUAUGUCGAACGCCGCCGGGAGAUGCCGCACACGCCCACACGCGCGGCCAGAAGCCGCUGCGCGUGGGCGCGACGCCGGCGGCGAACCGGCACGCGCUGGUCGGCAGACCGACGCGUGCUGACGUCACUCAACGGUCAGUAACCGCUAGGGUGACGUCAUCGAUGACGUCAGCACGACGAUGGUUGGCCCGGCGGUCACCGACCGGCGACCCGACCCGACCCAAACCGCGGAUGCCCGGCACGCGCGCGGCACGUGCCGUCGGUUCGCCCGAACCGGCCCGACCGGUCCGACGACCGACGACCUGACCGUUGACCGUUGACCCAAAAAAAAAAGAGGAAAAGAAUGUGUUUCUUUUUCAAUUAAGUCUAUGUGGAUUAUUUGUGAUCCCUUAUUUGUUCUGCAUUUGUUGCAGGAACAGUUCUGCAUUUGUUGCACGAACAAUGCCUCCCCUGAGGUUGCGCACACCUAUUUACGCAAUUACCGAUGAACAAAAGGAUAGGCUGUCUAAGUUGAUAGCUGAGCUGACUGAUCAUCGAUGGGAGAGUGGAGACUUAAUUGAUCAUGUCCUUGAGGUCAAUGGGAAGAUUCAACAGGUCAUAUGGAAUGGUCGUCCUAUUCCACAGUCAGAGAUGGUACGAUUUUUUAUAAACACUCUUCCACCUGAAUGGCAAGAUGUGUUGAAUCGCAUAUGGGAUGUCAAUGGAGUUGCUUCAUAUAAGAAAAUUGUGAUGGAUUUUGUAAAUGAAUAUUACUGCAUUGUUACAAGGGAAAAGAUCAAGAAAUUGAACAAAAAAUGAUCAUUCCCAAUUCGUGUGCUGACUCUGUGUUAGUUGUAUUGGCUGAUUUAUGUUAAGUGUGCUUUGUGGACAUAAUUAUGUAAUGUUUACUACCUAAUUUUUUGUUGAUGUAGCAACCAAUAUCUUUAUUGUAUUAGUUGAAAGCAUUAUUGUUUUAUUGGAAGUCAAUUAUCUGUUGCUUUCUGUUAUUACUGGUUGCUAUGGGUAGUUAUAGAAUUUUUUGUAACUUCAUAGAAUUUAUUUUGCAUAAGACAAUUAUAUUAAUGAUAGUUUUAAGUUAGGAUUAUGGAGGAUGAUUGGAAACAUAGUGACAUUUUGAUUCUGAAGCCUUACUUGAAAUUAUUCAUUAAUAUGAUGGGUCUAUGCAAAUAGGAAUGCAUAAAUGUUAGGCAUUAAUAAUUUGUGCAUAUAUGUCUGAUGUGUUCAGAUCAAUGGCUUCAGCCACAAAUAGCAUAGUUGCCGAGCUGAACAAAGGUGAAAAGCUCAAUGGUGACAACUAUGAGAUAUGGCAUAUGAAAAUCCAAUAUGUGCUGGAAGAGCAAGAGGCACUUGAGGCUCUUAACCUAACCAUGGUAGAACCUAAAGAAGGAAACACUACGCAACACAAAAGAGAUAAGGAAGCAUUUGCUGCAUGGAAAAGAAAGAACUCUCUUGCUCGCAUCACGUUGUUGAGCAACAUGGAAAAUGACAUCAUGCGAGAGUUUAGGCGUUUUGACAAUGCCAAGGAAAUGUGGGAGGCAUUGGCAGCUAGAUUUGGUCAUACUUCGGUGACCAGAUUGAGACAGCUCACUAUUAGGUUUGACUCCUAUAAGAAGCCUCAUGGUCAGACCAUGAAGCAACAUCUUAGAAAGAUGUCAAACAUGAUAAAUGAGCUGAAAGAUGCUGGUCAUAUCCUCACAGACGAGCAGCAGAUGCAAGCAGUGAUUCGUUCCUUACCUCAGAGUUGGGAGCAUAUGAAGGUGCACCUAACCCAUAAUGAAAAUAUCAAAUCUUUUGAGGAUGCAAUGCGCCAUCUUGAGCUGGAAGAGGACCGCCUCUUGGCGGCUAAGCGGAUGCAGAACUCUAUCAUGCUAGUUCUAGCUCAAAUGGAGCUUCGAGCUCCAAGCACAAGCGCCCUAACUGGUUUGAUAAAGGGAAAGGCAAGGAAGAAGGUCCUUCAGGGAAGAAACCCAAGUUUAACCAACAUGAAAGAGGAAAGCAUCCUCGCAUGAAGAAGUUUGCAAGGGUGAAAUGCUACAACUGUGACAAGAAGGGUCACUAUGCUCGUGACUGUCGUGAGCCAAAGAAGGUAUGCACCCUUUGUACUUUUCAGAACUUUACUUUUGUGUCGAGUUUUGUGUUCUUAACUGAAUCUAAUCCUUUGUGGACUGUAGAUUCAGGAGCGACGGACUAUGUAGCGAAGAAUAGAGGAUCCUUCGUGGAAUUCCGACGAGUACCAACUGGAACUAAGUGGAUCUAUGUGGGAAACAACUCCAUAGCUGAAGUGAAAGGAAUUGGCACAUGCCAACUGAAUAUGCGUGGUGGACGCACUUUGUUCCUACAUGAUGUGUUGUAUGCUCCGGAGAUUCGUCGGAAUUUAGUGUCUGUAUUAGUGUUGGUUAAAUUAGGUUUUAAUAUGAACUUUUAUAGUAGAGGUGUGAAUUUGUUUUUGGAUACAAAUUACUAUGGUUGUGGUUAUUUUCUGGAUGGUUUCAUUGUAUUAGAUAUUGAUUAUGUUAAUGCAAAUGUUUGUUAUUCCCUUCUCACGUCUCCUAAUACAUAUGAUAAUGAUGUGAAUGUGUGGCAUGCUAGACUUCGUCACAUUGGCCAAUAGCGUAUGAAUAGACUAGCUAAAGAGGGCUUGUUGGGCAACAUUGAAAAAGUCGAUUUGCCCAUAUGUAAGCAUUGCCUAGAAGGGAAAACAACAAGGAAACCAUUUGGGAAAGGUAAAAGAGCAUAAUUUCCUCUGCAUUUAAUCCAUUCUGAUGUCUGUGGUCCAAUAAAUGUGAGAGGAAGACUUGGGGCUGUUUAUUUCAUCACAUUUAUUGAUGAUUAUACUCGAUUCGGAUAUGUCUAUUUGAUUUCUCAUAAAUCUGAAGCAAUAAGUUGUUUCAAAAGGUUUAUGAACCUGGUAGAAAAUCAAUUAGAUAAGAAAAUAAAAGCAUUGAAAUCCGAGCGAGGUCGAGAAUAUUUAUCUGAUGAGUUCAGAAAAUUAUGUGAUGAAAAAGGAAUAGAAAGACAGUUGUCUAUUCCAUAUACUCCUCAACAAAAUGGUGUUGCGAAGAGAAUAAACAGAACCCUACUGGAAAUGGUUAGGUCCAUGAUAGCGCAUGCUAACUUACUUAUUACAUUUUGGAGUGAUGCCUUGUUAACUGCUACCUAUAUACUUAACCGAGUGCCUUCCAAAUCAGUUACUUCCACUCCAUAUGAGUUAUGGACAGGUAGAAAAUUGGACUUAAGUUUUCUUAAGCCAUGAGGUUGUGCUGCCUAUACACAUGAGUUCUCUCACAAGUUUGGGAAAUUGGGUCCCAGAGGAAAGAAGAGUAUUUUCAUAAGAUACUCUGAAUACUCGAAAUGAUAUGUGUUCAUAGGUGAGCAGGAAAGUGGGAGUAUAACUGAGUUUGAAUCACGAGAUGUCACAUUCUUAGAGGAUGAAUUUCCUAAGAAGGGCGAAAUAGGGGAAGAUUGUUCCCUAUUUGAGACCUUGGAUCAGGAUAAUGAUGUUAGUGGAGUUCGUCCAAGUGGGAGUAAUAUGAGAAGUGAUGAAUUGAAUUCAACUCAUUCUCAAUUGCAACCACAUGAUGAGACGACAUCAUCAUUACCUAAUCCAAGUGGGAGCAUGAUGGGGAAUAAUGUGCAAAGUGUACAAUCUCCCAUACGGCGAACAAGUCGCCAAAGUAUUCCCCGUCGACGUUUUGACAUUGAAGGGGAAACUUUUAUGGUUGCUCCACAAGAUGCGGAUGAGCCAAGAAAUAUUAAUGAGGCUCUGAAUUGCCCUAGUAAGGAAAAAUGUAUUAAUGCAAUGGAAGAGGAAAUGGAGUCAAUGAAAUCAAACCAAGUCUGGGAACUGGUUGAUCUUCCAAAAGGACGCAGAGCUAUUGGGAACAAGUGGGUUCUCAAAAUAAAGCGAAAGGCUGAUGGUUCGAUUGAAAGGCAUAAGGCUUGCCUUGUGGCGAAGGGGUAUAAUCAACAGGAAGGAAUUGAUUAUGAAGAUACGUUUUCUCCUGUAGUGAGAUUUACCUUGAUUCGCAUUAUUCUGGCAAUAGUGGCUAGUCUGGAUCUUAAGUUACAUCAAAUGGAUGUAAAGACUGCUUUCCUCAAUGGAGAAUUAGAGGAAGAAAUAUAUAUGGAACAACCUGCUGGUUUCAUAGUGAAAGGCCAAGAAGAAAAAAUAUGUCGACUUUUGAGGUCGAUAUAUGGUCUUAAGCAGUCAUCAAGACAAUGGUAUAUACGUUUUCAUAAUGCCAUAAUGGCAUAUGAUUUUACGAUGAUUGAUGAGGAUCAUUGUGUAUAUAUCAAAAGAUCCAAGGAUCAAUUUGUGAUCAUAUCAUUAUAUGUUGAUGAUAUACUAAUUGCCGGAAGCAAUAUGGAGUUUGUUCAUACUGUCAAGAGUUGGUUGUCUUCCAACUUUGAGAUGAAGGACAUGGGUGAGGCUGCAUACAUUCUUGGAGUUAAGAUUUCAAGAGAUCGUUCGAAGAGAUCGUUGUCUAUUUCGCAAGAAACAUAUAUAAAUAAGGUUCUUGAACGAUUUCGUAUGCAAGAUUGUAAACCCAUAGACACUCCUAUUGCAAAAGGUGAAGGAUUGAGCCAUAGACUGUGUCCAAGGACUCCACAAGAGAAGGAACAAAUGAAACAUGUUCUUUAUGCUAGUGUUGUUGGGAGCUUGAUGUACGAUAUGAUAUGUACAAGACCCGGCAUAUGUUUUGCAGUUGGAAUGGUGAGUAGAUACCAAUCCAAUCCAGGUCCAGCACAUUGGAAGGCCGUUAAGAGAAUAAUGAGGUAUCUGAAGGGAACUGCUGAUUACAAGUUGAAUUACCAAGGAAAUGAUCUACGACUUGAAGGCUAUUUAGAUGCUGAUUGGGGAGGAGAUUUAGAUGAAAGGAAAUCUACCUCAGGAUUUGCUUUCUUAUUGAGCAAUGGCGCCAUAUCAUGGAGUAGUAAGAAGCAAACAUGCAUAGCCUUAUCCACGAUAGAAGCUGAGUUCGUGGCAUUAUCGGCAGCAGUACAAGAAGGAGUUUGGCUUAAGAGAUUCUUGAAUGAUUUAGGUGUUAUUAAGAAAGCUGCAAAUCAAUUAUUGGUUAAUUGUGAUAGCCAAUCAGCUAUAGCAUACACCAAAGAUCCAAAAUAUCAUGGCAAGACCAAACAUAUAGAUACCAAGUAUAACUUUGUCAAGGAUGUGGUUGCACGAAAGGAUGUGAACUUAUAGUACAUAUCUACGCAUAGAAUGGUAGCAGAUCCUAUGACAAAGCCAAUACCUAGAGAUGUGUUUUGUGGUCAUAUAAAAUCUCUAGGAUUACGUAGAGUCUGAUGUACUGGAUUGUAAUUUCCCUGAGUUGUUCACAUUUAUGAACUAGUGUUGUUUCAUUAUUAAUGCCUAUGAAUCUUUGUUUGAUCUUUAUGCAUCUUAAUACUCAGUGUAUUAUUUUAAGUUGAGGAANNNNNNNNNNNNNNNNNNNNNNNNNNNNNNNNNNNNNNNNNNNNNNNNNNNNNNNNNNNNNNNNNNNNNNNNNNNNNNNNNNNNNNNNNNNNNNNNNNNNUGAGAUUGUUUUUAGCUUAUUAUCUAGGUGAUAAUCGAGAGCUCAAGCUUAAAAUACGUAUGUCGCCUUAACUGAGUGUUAAGAUGAUGACAUAAUACUUACUAUGUCUGAAAGUAAAAUACCCCACAUAUUUUACUUUAUCUGUCUAAGAUACCAGAUGUGAGUUCUAAUGAAUUUUGUAAAUAAGUAGAUACGUGAACUCAAGUUAGACAUUGGGUAUGUCUGAACUAUCAUCUGUACGGUAUUGAAAGGUGUAAACAUACGCUCCAUGGGAAAGGAGUUAAUAUUGUAAUAUGUAUUUCAUACUACGUAUGCAUGAGCCGACCAAUAAGAGUGAAAAAAAAGUUUGAUCUCAACUUUUAUGACGUGUGAGACUCUUGAGGAAAAGAGUUCCUCAAUUUUAGUGCCCUCAUGACUUUUACUUAUUCUCAAGGUUUCUAUUUAGUGUUUGCUAUUUUAGGAUGUUGCCAAUGGUCAUGAGUUGAUUCGAUCUAAUUGGACAUUUCUAGAAAAGCAAGCUGAACUGAAAUUGAGAGUUUGAAGGAAAGAGGAAUAUCGAUUUUGGGGAAUCACGUUAUAGUUUUGUAUUCACUGGUUGACCAAUUAUGAUUGUCUUUGUAAUAAUUAUAAUUGUGAAUACAUUAUAUGUAUCAUUUUUUAAAAAAGAUCAAAAGAGAUAUAAAUGUGAUCGAUCGAUCUAGGGUACUGCAUAUUAAAUCUACUUAAAGCGUGACGCCCAUUAAUGAGCUGUUAUAUAUUCCUAACAGAUGUAUAGCAACGAGCUCUCAAAGUAUGCCGGUCCCAUGGAUUAUUCACCGGUAUGAAUGUUGAAGAGAGGUAAAGAGAAUCAUAUUCGGCCCACCAUGUGCGAGUGGGAGAUGAUGGUUUUAUUAGUGAUGGGCUUAAGGCCCAUCCGCCCAAGUUGGGCCCAAAAAGCCCGGCCCACGGGAAUACGGCCAGUGGAUGGAGGGACAUAUAAAAGGAGGAGAGAGAGAGAGAACGUACCAAUUGAAGAAAACAGAAAGCAAACGUACGUCUUUUUCUUCUCACGCUCUCUCUCUCUCGCUUUUCUCUCUCAAAAGGAAAACAGUGAAGCACGAAGGCGAAUUUGCUUCACCGGAUCGAACAGGACCAAGUUUCUCUUCCUCUAUCGGCGUUAAUGUUUAAUCUGUGGCUUAAAAGGUACGCUCGAAUCCGUGGUGUGCUUUAGGAUCGGUGAUACGUGUUGUUUUCCCAGGCUCGUCUUCCGCAUUGAUUUAGGGGUUUGAUUUAGUGUCGAAUCUGCUUUUCGGGGAUCCGUUAUUCCCAACACAAUAGAAGCAAACCUUGACGCAGGGUUAGGGUUUCCGCCUGCAAGGAGGAAGACGCAUGAAUCUCUUUGGCAAAACCAUCUACCAUGAUGCCGUUGGAGUCACAAAGGAUGCCUGCAAUCGAGUUGAGCGAUUCUCCGUCUACCCACGAGCUAUCCACAUUCAACUUCAAAUCUGGAUCUUUCAGCGCUAUCCAGUUCAGAGGGUAAGUUCGCCUUUUCUCUCAUCUCUUUGCUCUUGCUCGGGUUCCAGCAUCGAUAGCUCUGUUUUUGUGCGAGGGCUGUUGCGAUUAACACCUCAGGUGGUGCCUUCUUAUCCCGGAAUACCAAAUUGUUCCUGUUUUUCCAUAUUUGCCAAAGCACCUCUACGAUUAAUUCUACAUCAGGUAAGUUUGUUUUUGCUUCCAGAAAUUCCGCCAUCCAUUUGUCCAUUCUAGUUACUGUUUUUUGUAGUGGUUGAGGUUUAAUCGUGGAUCUGACCAUAUUCUCUGGACUGUUUUGCAAUAAAAGAAGAUGUGUUUGACUGUCUCAGGGUAUUUAGAACAGAGAGGGCAUAGUGGGUCAAGUAAGAUCUCCCUUUGGUAGAGUUUUUCUUUGGUUGGUACUGCAUCCUGAUAUAGGCUCCACAGAAAUAUUUUCAGUUUGGGGGGGAUUGAUAGGUUUCAUAGUCUUGUCCAGAGGACCCGGGGAGGCUGGUGUGAGGAUGAAGCUCUGUUUCUGUCCUGUUGUGGGGAAUUGUUUUUGACGCUAUUAUAACCACUUUUAACUAUGUAGCUCCCAUUUUUGUUACCUGUCCAGAUCAGUUUAUCUGCCUUUGGCUACGUAGCGAUUGGUAUAGACAAGAUUUCAUUUACAAUUCUUCUUUCAAACAUCUAGUUUAACAGCAGUUCUUUCCACUCCUUCCUUCCCUCAUCAAUUAAAUCAGCCACUGUUUGAAGAUCUUCUCUGUUUGCUGGACCUCCUAGUACUCCUUGUGAUAGCCAGUGAUCUUAACGGAUGUUAAUGGACUUCCUGUCACCCACAAUCCAUCUUAGGUCUAGUGCAAUGGCUUCACGUCCCAUUAGAAUACUCUGCCAUCCCCAAGAUGGUCUUUGACCUCUGUUUACUUUCCAUAAGACUCCAUUAGGAAAAUAUAAACCUUUCAGGAUUUGGCUCCAUAAUGCUGAAGGUAAUAGGGAUAAUCGUCAGGCCUACUUUCCCAACAUUGCUUUGUUGAAAGUAAUUAGGUCUUUAAAACCUAAACCUCCCCUGUCUUUUCUGGACUUUAGAACCUCCCAUUUUUUCCAAUGCAUGCUAUUCUUGGCUUCAUCUUGCUUCCACCAAAAUGCUGCAAUUCUUUUCUCAAUUGCUCGACAAACUGAUAUAGGUAUCUUGAAGAUUAACAUUGCGUACUGCGGCAGUGCUUGCACCACAAUUUUGAUCAAGAUUUCUUUCCCAGCUUUAGACAGGUAUUUUUCUUUCCAUCCCGCUAGCGUCAUGUUCACUCUUGCCAAAAUCCAUGCAAACGUGUCUUUUUUUGUUUGGCCCCAGUCUAAUGGUAUUCCAAGGUAUUUUCCAGUCCUGUCAAUGCUUGGCACUCGCAUUUCUUAUGUCAUAUUCUUUUUCAACUCCUAUGGGCAGCCAUUGUUGAAAACCAUUCCUGACUUAUUCAGAUUGAUUGCUUGACCCGUAGCAUAGUAAUAUUGAUUUAGUACAUCCACCAAACUUUGACAUUCUCCAACAGUCCCAUCCAUAAAGAAAAUAGCAUCAUCAGCGAACAGCAAGUGGGAUAACGUUGGAUAAUACCUGUUUAAUCCGAUCCCUUUAAUACUUCCGUCUUCCAAGGCUUUGUGUAGUAUCCAUGAGAGGCUAUCAAUAUGAAUAGGUAGGGGGAUAGUGGAUUGCCUUGUUUAAUUCCACGUGUAGGAGAAAAAUACUCUGUUUGCUCUCCGUCGAUUUUCACAUUAUAAGAAACUGUUGACAUACAUUGCAUAAUCAAAUGAACCCAGUGAUAAGAAAAUCCCAUCUUUAACAUGCUCAUUCGAAGAAAAUCUCAUUCCACUCUAUCAUAUGCUUUUUGCAUGUCCAGUUUCAAUAUCGCCUGAAAUUUCUUUGUCCUCUUCUUGAUUCUCAUUUGAUGGAGCACUUCUUGAACAAUUAGGAUAUUGUCUUGGAUUUGGCAACCUUGAACAAAAGCACUUUGUUCAUGUGAUAUUAUCUAUGAAAGCCAUUGUUUUAAUCUAUUUACCAGGACCUUCGAUAUGAUUUUAUAGCUGAAAUUGCAUAGGCUGAUUGGUCUGAAUUGGCUAAUAUUCUCUUAAUUUUUAACUUUUGGUAUAAGAGCAAUGUAUGUCAUGUUUAGAAUGGGAUCAAGAUUACCUAACUGAAAAAACUGUUGGACCAUAAGCAUAACAUCCAUUUUUAUAUCAUCCCAGAAGUGCUGGUAGAAUUGCCCAUUUAGAUCGUCUGGUCAUGGAGCCUUUAUGGAGCCUAAUUGGAAAACAGCUUCUUUCACCUCCUCCUCAAAUAUAUUAGCCAACAAGAAUUCAUUCAUCUCUGUAGUUACAACUGUUUAGCAUUGAUUUAAUAUAGGCUGGAGAUUCCGUCGUCCCACCAAGUCAUAGAGAGACCGAUAAUAGUCCAUAAUGUGUUGUUUGAGCACCUUGGGAUCCCUACUCCAAUUCUGUUCAUCAACUUUCAGCAUUGUUAUUUUGUUUCGCUGCCUCCUUCGAAUUGUAGUGGCAUGGAAAUGCUUCGUAUUCUUAUCUCCUCAUUGGAGCCAAUUGAUUCAGGACCUUAGUCCCCAAUACAUAUCUUCAUGCCUCCAUAGUUAAUCAAUGUUUGCUUUUAACUUCUGAAUUUCUUCCUUUCUGGUUUCUCGAGUAUUGUUAUUAGUAACAUCCGUUAGGCACUUCUUGAGUUCUUUUAUUUGAUAGGAUGCAUUAGAAAAUUUCUUUUUGCUCCAUUCAGCUAGUGCCUUUGUUACUUGCUGAAUUUUUUGUGGCAAUCUUCUGUGGUCUUGAUAAUUUCCAGCCCAAGUAUCCAUAACAACAUCUCUACAGUCCUUUUCAUCUAACCAAUAAGCUUCAAAUCUGAAAUCUCUUUUCCUUUUGCCAUGAACAGGAUAUAAGGAGAGUAGAAGGGGGUUGUGAUUCGACCCCACCACUGGUAAUGCCAAAACUUCAGCAUUUGGAAAGGUAACUUGCCAUUCCAUAGUACAUACUACUCUGUCUAAUCGUUUUUUCACCAAUUCUUCCCCUUCUCUAUUAUUGGUCCAUGUAAACAUCUAGUCUUUACUAUCAAUAUCCAUUAGUGAACAGUCAUUUAACAUAUCCCGAAAAGCUGCAAUUCGGUAAUAAUUAGUCUCCCUUUUUCCUUCUUUCUCCCAAUUAUAUAGGGUAUCAUUAAAGUCUCACAUACAAAGCCAUGGUAGUCGAUUAGUUGUAUGAAAACCUCGUAGUUGGUGCCCUAACUAGAUUCUCUCCUAGUAGUUUGUUGAAGCAUGAAGGGAUGUAAUCCUCAUGAUUUUGCCACUAUUGGGAUCUUCACAUUCUGUAUCUAUUAAAUAGUUUGAGCUGCAAUUCACUUUUACUUUAGCCUCCUCACUCCACAUGAGUGCUCGUCCCCCGGCAAUUCCUGUAGGCUGAACCAAAAAGAACUGCUGAUAGUUAAGUCUCCUCCUUACCAUUCACCAUGGUUUCCUUAUUUUUGGUUUCCAUCAAGAAAACCACAUUAGGCCUUUUUAGAGCCACUAAGGCUCGAAGCUCUUGGAAUGUCAAGGGGUUGCCCAGCCCCUGACAAUUUCAGCUCAAAAUCCUCAUGAUGUCGUCAGUGGCUUAUUAGGGCUAGCCACCAAAGCCCAAUCAUUCCCCUCUUUCACUUGCUGGAUAGGUGUCUCUAGUAGCUCCAUCUCUUCUAUCAUUAACAAGCUUGAUUCGUCAAUCUUCUUCUGUUUUUUGCUCUUAUGAACUUUGGCCCCUUCCUAUUAGAGCCUCCUCUUUCAAUCUGUCCUGCUUCAGUCGAGUCUAGAUUUUCUAGUUGUUGUAUCCCUCAUAUCUUCUGUUCUGUUUUCAUUCGGUGAUGGAUUUUCUGCCCUCUUUUUGCUUCAAUUAGGUCCAGCAGCUGGUCCAUGGCAGCCCACAAUCUCAAGAUUAGACUGGAGGGGAGUAUCAGGUACGCAUUCCUCCUCCUCUGAAGUAGAUAUUAUUGUUCCAUAAAAAGCUUCCUAGUGAGGGCUUUUGUCUCUGACCUCUGAUUUAAGCCAUGGCCCGUAUUUCCCUAGCUUGUUUGCUGCCCAUUCUAUUUUUUCAUAGGGUAUUUCUUUGCAAUUGGUGACAUAAUGCCCUAGCUUUCCACAGGAAUAGCAGUAAUGAGGAAGACGCUCAUACUUGAACUCAACCCAUAGCUUUUUUUUGCCAAUCUUCACCAGAGCCCCUGUUUUAAGGGGAGCUGAAAGUUCAAUUUCCACUCUUGCUUUUCCUGUUUUAUAGAGCAUAUUUCCCAUUUUCUCUAACUGAAUUUCCUUCACUUUGCAUAUAGAAAAUAAGAACUGGAAAAAGGAACCCAUAUCUUAUCCAAAAUAUGUACCUCACUAUGGCCAUAGACGCGAUUUCAUUACCUCUUUGCAAAACCAUGAGAUAAAAACCCCGAAAAUCCAACUGUUUAGGCUUUGAUAUGCAAAAAUAAACAAUAAUGCACAUCUUACUCAUACAUACCGUCCACCAAAUAAUUGGCAAACAAAUUACCGUGCUAGUAUGCUACCAAUCUAUAUGAUCAUGGGAAAGAGAAAAGGUCACCAACAGAAUAAUGUGAAGUAAAAGGAAAAGAGAGAGAACAAGCGACUUCCUUCUACCCACUACAGUUUUCUUUACAGUACUUGUGGUGUAUGAGACAAUUCAUCACAAAGCUCAACUAGAUCAUGUUUAAAAGAAAGCCUUUCUAUCUCUUCUUUUUCCUUUUUUCCAUGUUUUUGUUCUUCUUAGAAAAAACGGAUUAGACAAGCCAAUUAAGCCAGCUCUAAAACUAAUUUCAACAUGAGAAAGCUUACUCCUAGGUCUUCCCACCGUAGCACAACCAUCACAAAGCACAAGACCAUGAAAAACCAAUCGACUUGAUGAAAACAGCGAAGUGAUCCAACUACUCCUAAUAAUACAGAAAUCAAAAAAUAAUAAAAUAAUAAUAAUUUAUCUUUUCAGAAAUUAAAAAAAAAAUCAAAAAUAUUCUACAAUUUCCCAAAAAAAGAAAAAGUCAAAAAUGAUUUAUAUUUAAAAAAUCAAAAAUUCCGAAAAUGCAAAAAUAGAAAAAAGACCAAAAAUAUGUUUUUCUCCACAAAAUGCAUGAAAAAUCCUUUAAAAUCCAAAAGGCCUUAGGGUUUAAACAAGAUUAGGUAGCGGAAAGGACAUUAGUGAUUAACUAAUGUAAUUAAGUUAUUGAUCCUAAUUUCUCUGAUUGCGCGGGAACGAAAUAUUUCUCCCAAUAUUUCGUUUGGGUUUCCAAUCAACCCACCCCAAAUUGAAUAGUGAUGAAUUAACUUACAAGUUAAAAACUCGGAGCAUAAGUUGUGAAUUGGUGGGCUUGAGAGAGCCUGAGCUAAGCAUAAUAGACUUAGCAAGCCAUUAGCCUCUACAAGCACCAGCACAUUAGGGCACCGAAAGGGAGGUCGUGACAACAAGCAAAACACCUAUUUAAUCUUACACCCUAUUUUCUGAUAAUCCAGAAGAUACAUGGCUACACUACUACGUUCUUGUUUUACUCUCUCUUUUUUCUAUACGAAGAUUGUACUAUAUGGGGAACAACACAUGAUUGAUCGAAGUCGUGCCUAAUUUAAGGGAGAUGAGGUUGAGAGUAUACUAGCCUUAAACCAAACAAUUUAGAUUUUCUACGAACCUUUCAAUUUGGAUCGACUUUCUUUUAGCCAAGAAGACUUGCAAAAGGGGCAUGUUUCCACCUUUCUCGAUGAGCGGGUUUACAAAUAUGUUACACCAAAAUUUAAUUUUAGUUAAAUUUGCAUGCGGUGAAAUACAUAACUUGUAAUCUACUAACCAAAAAUAUGGUUUUAGCAUGAUUCUUCCAACCCUACAAUGGCAGAAAACAUUAGCCCCGGGAGUCAAAUUAUAGAGCUUAUCAAACAUCAAUCCCUACCGGAAUACAUCAGAAAAGUGCUGAGAACGAAACGCGAGGAGAAGAUAAGAGAUGCACAGGACGUGGAUACGUGAUGGCCAGACGAACUCAAGUGUUGACUGGCGACUGGAUUUAGACACUGAAUAAUUCGUGCAAAUUCUUCUUCGACUAGACACCACAAACAUCGUUUGACCCAGAGCAGGAAAAAGGACGAAAAUGCCCAAAAGGAAGGUGGUCAAAAUUCAGCCGUGACUUCUGAUUUCCAGAGGGCAUUAGCUGCCAACAUUAGAGCAUGAUAGCAUACGUUUUCAAAGACUUUUAUCAUGUACCUUGGAUCAUUAUCAUCAUAGAAAAAACCUACUUCAAUAAUUGACUCGAAAUAUAAACGUUACUCAUGUGAUGAAAAUCUCCUAGAGCUUUAUGCAUGGUCAAUGGACCUACUAAAGAUCCUUGGUUUGACUAUCAUGGACAUCAACUCGGGGAAAUCAACCAGAUGUUAUGAUUUCCGCGAUGCUUGUGCAGCUAGGUCCCAUGAGAUGGCCUAUAGUAUCUGAUGAAUGGACCUAUUUAUGUGCACAGAUUAGACCAAGGCGAUAGGUCCGACUCCCUCCGUUGUCAAGCGCAAACAUCAUAUCUGGAGCAUAUUCGAUUUUCUCUCAUAUGUCGCCUUUAAUAGGAGAUCAUAGGCACUCUAUGGUCUCAAUUUUUUUGCUCUACUUCAAUUCGUGCCUUUAAGUAAACUUUUUUUUCACUUACCGAAGUACUUGUUCUCAAAAGAAAGAAGAGAUCUUAUUCUUGAAAAACGCCCACGUUAGGAACACGCUAAGCAAGUAAGGCCCUGUCCCACUGUAUUGAAAGCGAGAACCACUACAAGAGGUCGAACCGAGGACCUAUGGAAUUGGGGACCCGAUCAAUAUUAGAUCAAACAACUGGGGGGGGCUGGCUACACUAGUACACUAGCCUUUAUUCUAGCCUAUAUUAUACUCAAUGACUAUGUUAGUUGAACUAGCUCAUUCGUUGGCUUGAGAUAGAGCUACUUUAAUACCAACAUGAGGGACUGGCGGGGCUAUAAAGAAAGAAUAAAGUAGUUUCAACAAGAUUCCAUAACGUAUAAUCCUAAACUUUUUUGACCAUCCCAUACGGGCAGGUCGAGUACAAGAUACAUUUCUCUCUUAUUUAUAUAAGAUCGAUUCUUUUGACUAUUCAUUUGGAAGUUUGAUAAUACUGGGAGUGAUUCUAGGUUACUUAUCUUGAAUUUUUCUUGUCCAAAAGAGCAUUUAUUUCGAGUUAUUUCUCAUAUUUUGGAAGUGUUUUCCUUGUGAACGAGUACAAUUCUCACUUGAGUAGGAGACUAUGAAAAAAAAAGUCUUAAUUUUAUUGUACGAAUGUCAAUUUUGUUUUAAACCUUUUAAUUUGACCAAUUUAAUUUCAAACAUUUUGACAAUUUGUCAAUUUAGUUUUCCUAAUCAAUUUCAGUAAAAAAAUCAUUGAUGCGGACAUCUACCACACUACUAUGUGAUACAGUUAGCACUAACGUGGACAAUUUUUUGCAAUUUUUUUAAAGGAAUUGAAAUUUUAAUUUUUUUUUUCCUUUUUUCCGUCAUUGUGCAUCAGCCACUAGGGCAAAGGCCUACAAACCCUCGUCGACCGCUAGCGAGGGCCUUCGUGCCCUAGCCUAUGGCCUAGGCAAAGGCCAAUUACAACUACAAAGAAAACAGAAAAUAAAAAAUUAUUUAAAAACUCAAAACAUUUUUAAAAGUUACAAAAAAAAAAUUGUCCAUAUUAGCACCGAUCGUCCUACAUGGCAUAACCAGCAUCCAUGUCAGCGAUUUUUAAUCAAAAUUGGCCAAAGUUGGCAAACUAUCAAAAGGUUAAGCACUAAAUCGGCCAAGUCAAAACAUUUCAAGAUUGAAUUUAUUAUAAAUUUAAGAUUUUUUUUUUUUUAUAAAUUUCCCUCGAGUGAGAGUCGCAUUCGUUCACAAGGAAAACAUUAUCAAAAUAUGAGAAAUAACUCAAAAUAAACACUCUUUUGGCCAAGAAGAAAAUCAAGACAAGUAACCUAGAAUCAUUCCUAGUAUGAUCGAACUUCCAAGCCGAAUGAUAAUGGAUCGUGUGCUGUAUGAAGAAAAAGUUUCCCUGGAAGAGGAUGGUCAAAAGGGCCCGAUCCGAUGUCCACUCCCAGUGCCAGCAUGCCUCACCUAGCACGGUGUGACCCGCCAAGUUUUCACCUUUGCCUUUUUCCUUUUGUGCGUUGCACGUGGGUGCUUUGCUCGGUUGCUCUGGUAUGCAAUGAGCUUUUUAUUAAAUGCAAUCAUUCAGCACCAGAAGAAUCGGUCAUCCGUAAAACUUUGUCUCCAUCUCUCCUUUCUUCUUUCAGUUCGUGGGGAAUUCAUUAGUGCCAGCUGGGUCGUUUGAUUUGGUUGUGAAUACAAAUAUCAAUAAUGGAUGGGGAGGGCGAUCAUAUCCAAUGAUCCCAUCUUUACGUUACCAUAAAUAUUACGCACCCACUACAAAUUAUUUGAUUUUAACCAUAAUUAUUUUGCACUAUCUGUGAUUUGAAAAUUCGAAAUUAACGAGUGUGUUGAGACAACGUGUCAAAACACCAUCGGUCAAAAAAUCUCUCCACAUGAGACAUGUCAUACUUAUACAAAACAACGAGAGGUUUCUAGGGUUUGUUUACUUAGGUUUCUCGUGAAACUAAUAUGAUGGUCCGCGCGUAAUUCACUAUAGUAAAUUUCCAAAUGUUAAAAGAUCAUGUAUGGGUAUUUGGUAGAAGUUUUGGCUUUUGUUUUGAUUUUAGAGUUUUAGGUUUUGGUUAACGUUGAAUGUGCUGCAUAUAUUUAGAGAGAAAUACACAAGAUGCUAACGUUUUGAGUCGCCUUAAAUUGCUCUCAUGAUUUCUCCGUUAAAAGAUUAUCUUCUAUUUCGACGAUAAGGGAUUUUCGGCUUAGGAAAGCCAAAUCUGAAACGUUUUUGAGUAAAAAGCAAAAGCUAAAGCCAUUUCAAGGUAAAAAAACUACUAGUUAGAAAGCAUUCAUACACCCCGUGACGAUUCGUGCUAAAUCUAAAAAAUUUACAACGAUCCAUUCAAACACCCAAAUAUCAAACCUUACUUUCACUUAAUUAUUUAAAAUUUUAGAUAAUAAGUAUACGGUAGGUUUACAAUACCAAAAAAUACACACGACAAUAAUGCGGGGGUUAAAGUUCACUAACUCAAAAGGGAGGCAAACCAAUCAAUAUGUCCUAAACAAAGAUAAGAUUUGAUCUUGGGAUUGUUCAAAAUAGAGUUCAAACGUUCUGGUAGGCAAGGAUUCCAAUCAACCAUCACUUGAAAAAAGGAAACUUUGACUAAUCAAGAUGAUGACAAAGAUCUCGACCGAAUAAUAGCUAGGGUUUUGACCAUGGUCUGAUGCCAAUCCCCCUCAUAGACCUCUGCCUUUCUGAAAGCUCGUAACUACAAUUCGAAAUUAUACUUUAGGGAGUUAUAUUAAGGGAAAGAGAUCCACUCGUAUCUCACAAUUUAAAAAAGGAAGGAAAACAAAAACACAGAUCAUACCUUCUUCUUCUUUUCUUAUUUUUCCUGUUUUAGAUAAUUGCCCUAAUUGCUUGGGCUCUAGAAUGGGUUCCUACUAUGACUAAAUAUUGGGAUAAUUAUCCAAAAUAUCUUAAAUAUAUAAUACGUGCACGGUACUGAUUGAACAGCAACAUUAAUGAUUUUGGUCAAAAACCCAAUUUUGGUUGGAAUGAUUAUGCUGAAUAAUUGUCAAAAGGUCGAGAUAAAAUUAAUCAAAUUAAAAAUUUUGGAUUGAAUUGACUGUCGUAAAGAUUUUCUAGAGAAUUAUCCCUUCAAUUAUUGCUCAUAUGAUAUCUUAUAAUGAGAAACGGAGCGGUAGGGUGCAAGAACGAAUGAACGUGUGAGUGGAAUCUUGAAUUCAAAGCACGAAAUUCCUUGAAAUUUCAUAAAGUGGGGAAGAAAGCGGUAUCUGGACAAUUAACAUAAACUGAUGGGCGAACAAAGGGCCACGUACCACCUUUGCUCCAUCAAGUUGCACAUUUGAUUCCAAACAAGUCAUGCCACUUGGCCAAAUGCACGUCACUCUGCUUGUGUCAUCCCUCGUCAUCUAAUUCGUUCGGGUAUGAAACUGUUGGCCCAAUUGAUCAAUCGAGUUUUAAAAUAUUUAAUUUUUGGCCGAUUGAGCUUUUUCACUUUUUUAAAAUACAUUGAAUCGAGUCGCCGAUCAUCGAAAGCGAUUUACUUCGAUGCCGACAAGUGCUAAUCGACGAACAUGUCCAGCACUCGUUGCACAUUUUAAAAGCGUGGAAGACUCGUCCGGACAAGAUAAAAUGUGGAGAGCUCAAUUGAAUAAUGGUUGAUUCAUAAAAGGUUUACGAUUAUGGAAUUUAUUUAACUUUUACCUAAGAUUAAAAAAAAAGGAAAAUGUUUCAUGAGACCGGCACGUCCAAAUGCCUUUAAUUCUUUGCUAUAUGCAUCUAUUAAUAUUAUUACAUGGCUUCAAUUGCUAGAAAAAUGAUGGGUUAGAUUUUUAUGAUAGCUCAGUACCACUAACCCUAAUUAAAAUUCCUGUAUCAAUGAGAGUCAACACUGCAACAAUUUUGAGUAGGACUUUUUAAUUUAAUAGUAACCAACUUUCAAAUACAAACAAAAUGAUCAUGAUAUAUGUCAUAUGUCGAAUUAGAUACAUUGAAUUUCCCCUAACAAAGUGCCGGUCAUCGUUCGAGUUUCAAUUAGCAAGAUUCAUGUAUGGAAUGUUUGAAGCCCUUCCAUCAUCUAACUAUCUUUCACUAGAUCCAACGGUCUCCAUCCGAAGACAUUUACAUUCCGACAACAUCGCCAAAGCGUACGAGACAUGCUUCUACUUACGUUAACCUCGAAAGGAAGACCGGGGCGCACUGUUUCACACCCGCUCUUUGAGCAAGAAGAUGCAUCACGAUAAUCACUUCAGUAACCCGUUUGAAUUCUUACGACGCCAAUAUGCUCGAGCCUUCAAGGGUGUCGUCUCGGCAUCAUGAUCAAUGACUGACCCACACUUCACGUGCCCACUUGAGUUAUUUUGGCAUGUGGUGAUUAGAGCUUUGGAAACAAGUGAGAGAUCUUAAACCACGUGGGUCUAAGGAAAACAAAGAAAGAAGGUUGUAUAAAAUAAUCCAACUUGUGGCAGCGUGUGUAUAAAUCUCAACGAGUAGCUGCUGAGCCUCUUUGAGCUCACUUCAGCAGCGGCGCACGCAAAAACUCACUCACCUAACACUACUCAAGGAGCAAGAGGAGGAAGAAGAAGAAGAAGAAGAAGAAGAAGAAGAUGAGUACUCAACCACCAAACCCGCCACCGCCUCAGAAGCCCCAUCCAGCCCCAUCCUACGGCAACCAACCACCACCGAGAGGCAAUGUCAUCAAGAAAAUCAUCUUCGGCAAUAGCUGAAGCUGUUAUGAUCUUAAUCCUGGGGAGGAGUAAGUAGGUUUUCAAUUAAGUGAAUUACAUAACCUGUGUCCUAUCUUAUCAGAGGCCCCUCUGGCCCCAUCCUCCGGCAAUCAACCACCUCCGAGAGGCAGUGCAGUUAGGUUUUCGAUUAUGUUAAAUACAUAACCUCUAUCCUAUCUUAAGUGCUAUGUGUAAUCAGUAUACUAGAGUCGAGGUCGAUGUACCCAUUAUAAAGGGUACGCCAGGAUGACCCAGACCUAAGUGUUGUACAGACUUGGUGUUUUCGUGAUGUGAAAUGUAAACAAAAUCCUCCCCCAAAUUAAGCUUCUGAUGUUUUUACAGGGUAGGCAUAUUUCCAGAUAAUUCUCAUACCCGCAUGCGAUAAUGAAUAGAUCUCGGCUUCCUCUUGUGCUUUCGUAUCGUCCUGUCGGGCAUGUGCAGCACGCAUGUUCGUAUGUAUUUGCUUGUGCGCAGCGCGGGCAAGCGUGCUGAACAGGUAGAAUAAUC
rnacentral:lncRNA from 1 species